CCUACGGUGGGCUGCAGUGGGGAAUAUUGGACAAUGGGGGGAACCCUGAUCCAGCCAUGCCGCGUGUGUGAAGAAGGCCCUCGGGUUGUAAAGCACUUUCAGUGAGGAAGAACGCCUGGUGGUUAAUACCCAUCAGGAAAGACAUCACUCACAGAAGAAGCACCGUCUAACUCCGUGCCAGCAGCCGCGGUAAUACGGAGGGUGCGAGCGUUAAUCGGAAUUACUGGGCGUAAAGCGCGCGUAGGUGGCUUGAUAAGCCGGUUGUGAAAGCCCCGGGCUCAACCUGGGAACGGCAUCCGGAACUGUCAAGCUAGAGUGCAGGAGAGGAAGGUAGAAUUCCCGGUGUAGCGGUGAAAUGCGUAGAGAUCGGGAGGAAUACCAGUGGCGAAGGCGGCCUUCUGGACUGACACUGACACUGAGGUGCGAAAGCGUGGGUAGCAAACAGGAUUAGAUACCCCGGUAGUC
rnacentral:rRNA from 1 species